GAGACCUUAGGUCAGGCGGGGCUACCCAUUAAGUUUAAGCAUAUCAAUAAGCGGAGGAAAAG
rnacentral:rRNA from 1 species